CCUACGGGACGCAGCAGUCGAGAAUCAUUCACAAUGGGGGAAACCCUGAUGGUGCGACGCCGCGUGGGGGAAUGAAGGUCUUCGGAUUGUAAACCCCUGUCAUGUGGGAGCAAAUUAAAAAGAUAGUACCACAAGGGGAAGAGACGGCUAACUCUGUGCCAGCAGCCGCGGUAAGACAGAGGUCUCAAGCGUUGUUCGGAAUCACUGGGCGUAAAGCGUGCGUAGGCUGUUUCGUAAGUCGUGUGUGAAAUGCGCGGGCUCAACCCGCGGACGGAACAUGAUACUGGGAGACUAGAGUAAUGGAGGGGGAACCGGAAUUCUCGGUGUAGCAGUGAAAUGCGUAGAUAUCGAGAGGAACACUCGUGGCGAAGGCGGGUUCCUGGACAUUAACUGACGCUGAGGCACGAAGGCCAGGGGAGCGAAAGGGAUUAGAUACCCUUGUAGUC
rnacentral:rRNA from 1 species